AACGAACGCUGGCGGCAUGCCUAACACAUGCAAGUCGAACGAGACCUUCGGGUCUAGUGGCGCACGGGUGCGUAACGCGUGGGAACCUGCCCUUAGGUUCGGAAUAACUCCCCGAAAGGGGUGCUAAUACCGGAUAAGGUCUUCGGACCAAAGAUUUAUCGCCUUUGGAUGGGCCCGCGUUGGAUUAGCUAGUUGGUAGGGUAAAAGCCUACCAAGGCGACGAUCCAUAGCUGGUCUGAGAGGAUGAUCAGCCACACUGGGACUGAGACACGGCCCAGACUCCUACGGGAGGCAGCAGUGGGGAAUAUUGGACAAUGGGCGAAAGCCUGAUCCAGCAAUGCCGCGUGAGUGAUGAAGGCCUUAGGGUUGUAAAGCUCUUUUACCCGGGAUGAUAAUGACAGUACCGGGAGAAUAAGCGCCGGCUAACUCCGUG
rnacentral:rRNA from 1 species